CUUUCUCCGCCGGCGACCGGCGCACGGGUGAGUAACACGUAUGCAACCUGCCCCUGUCAGGGGGACAACCCGCCGAAAGGCGGGCUAAACCCGCGUACAUGCCACCGGGGCAUCCCGGAGGCAGGAAAGGGCUUCGGCCGGACAGGGAUGGGCAUGCGGCGCAUUAGGCAGUAGGCGGGGUAACGGCCCACCUAACCGACGAUGCGUAGGGGUUCUGAGAGGAAGGUCCCCCACACUGGUACUGAGACACGGACCAGGCUCCUACGGAAGGCAGCAG
rnacentral:rRNA from 1 species